UAUUAUUCAUGUUAAUCAUAACAUUUGAAAGAGAAGGGGCAAUUCAAAAUUUUUAUUUUAUUUUAUUUUUAUUUUUAAAUGAAAGUUCAAUUCAAUGAUUUUUGGAGUAUAAGUACGGCAAAGCAAGAACCCUAGAGAGCUUUCUGUCUCUCCCUGUCUCUCAACCCCCGAGACAGUCUAAUAAGAGGGGUUGGGUUGGGUGUCUGGCUCUUAGCUCUCUCUGUAUCUUUCCAGUGAUUAUAUUGAUUUUUCUUGGGUUGUUUCAAUAUACCCAGAUUUGAUAAUCUGCAAAGUCGCUUUCUUUCUCUUCAAUAGGAAGAGAAGACGAAGAAUCGGCAUAGAAGGAUAGACGAUAGACGACUUGGUUGUUUCUACUCUUUUUUAAGUACUGUAUACGAUGGGCGAUAGAAUCCCACCUGGAAGUUAUUUCCAAUACUCUCCUUCUGGCGUCCAUGCUUCUCCUCACAGGCCUUCUUCUGCUUCUUUAGAUCGAGAAAGCAAUGGAAGAUAUUUGGCUGAAUUGUUGGCAGAGAGGCAGAAACUGGGACCAUUUAUGCAAGUUCUGCCACUUUGCAGCAGGCUUCUCAACCAAGGUUAGUGGCUCUUCUACCUCCAACUUGUUGUAGUUUCAUGGUUCAGUGACUUCAGUCUAUGUAUUUCUUUGUUUCAUGCUUUACAGCUUUGAAAUCCUUCAAUCAUAUUUCAUACCAUUGAGAAUGAUAUUAAAAAUUUGAUAGUUUCACCAGUACCAAAAUUUAAAAAAUCAAGUCUUGUUGCCCCUGGAGGGGAGGGGGUAUUUUUUUUGUUUGAUACUUGGCUCUUGAAAGUGGAUGACUCAAUUAACCUCAUGAUUCCAAUUAAACAUGGAAUAUGUAAACAGCUGCCACUAAUAUGUCAAGUUUCUGUCUUUAUUAGCCAUACACAUAAAGGUAGAUUAUCAGAAGACAGAGAUGGAACUAUUUUGUUUCUCUCAAUUCUAUAGAUAAUGGUUAAGAUGGCAUCUCAAUGCAAUAAAUGGCCAAUAGAUAAGAUUUCAGUAAGUGGGAAGGUAUAAAAAUGAUAGUUAAAAAAAGCAUGCCAGAAACUCUGGUUCCUGACUUUCACUCAUGCAAAAUAAUAAGUUUGUAGCAUUAUCAAAGUGCACAUUUUUCUUCUAGCAGUUGAUUUGUGGAUACUCUUUCCUAAAUUUUUAAUAUUCGUCACACUACUAUUGUGAUUUUAACACUGUAUGCACCAUAACACUGUUCCAAAUCUGACUCCCAAAUGCGAGAUGUAUGGUCAUUAUUGGGUAGCAUACUGUUGGUUAGCCUGUUUAGGUGGUUGGGAUUUGUUAACCCUUCUAUUUACUUCUGAUGUAGUUUCACCCUAUACGUGGUUGUUAUUUUAGAAAAGAAAUCCCAUCCAUGAUGCAGAAAACGUAACAAAA